AUUGCCUCAGUAACGGCGAGUGAAGCGGCAACAGCUCAAAUUUGAAAUCUGGCCCUAGGCCCGAGUUGUAAUUUGCAGAGGAUGCUUUUGGCAAGGUGCCUUCCGAGUUCCCUGGAACGGGACGCCAUAGAGGGUGAGAGCCCCGUCUGGUCGGACACCGAGCCUCUGUAAAGCUCCUUCGACGAGUCGAGUAGUUUGGGAAUGCUGCUCAAAAUGGGAGGUAUAUGUCUUCUAAAGCUAAAUACCGGCCAGAGACCGAUAGCGCACAAGUAGAGUGAUCGAAAGAUGAAAAGCACUUUGAAAAGAGAGUUAAAUAGCACGUGAAAUUGUUGAAAGGGAAGCGUUUAUGACCAGACUUGGCCCGGUUGAUCAUCCAGCCUUCUGGCUGGUGCACUCUGCCGGUCCAGGCCAGCAUCAGUUCGCCGCGGGGGAUAAAGGUUUCGGGAAUGUAGCUCCUCCGGGAGUGUUAUAGCCCGUUGCGUAAUACCCUGCGGUGGACUGAGGUCCGCGCUCUGCAAGGAUGCUGGCGUAAUGGUCAUCAACGACCCGUCUUGAAACACGGACCAAGGAGUCGUCUUCGUAUGCGAGUGUUCGGGGGUAAAACCCCUACGCGUAAUGAAAGUGAACGCAGGUGAGAGCUUCGGCGCAUCAUCGACCGAUCCUGAUGUUCUCGGAUGGAUUUGAGUAAGAGCAUACGGGGCCGGACCCGAAAGAAGGUGAACUAUGCCUGUAUAGGGUGAAGCCAGAGGAAACUCUGGUGGAGGCUCGCAGCGGUUCUGACGUGCAAAUCGAUCGUCAAAUAUGGGCAUGGGGGCGAAAG
rnacentral:rRNA from 1 species